ACCCUCCACUUCCCUUUCCCAUUGGGCCUGAACACUGGUCUGGGUGGUUGUAAAAGGAGGAAAACAAACAUGGAAAGAGGCCUCAGUGCAUGUAGCACAUGGGCUGGUUUCAAACAGGA
ensembl:snoRNA small nucleolar RNA SNORA61